AAACAAACGUUGAAGAGGUAAAGUAGUUAUAUGUCUGGACUUCUACAGAGAGCCGUGAUUGCUGGAAAGCGGUGUUGUCACAUAUGAUGAAAGUCCCCUCGGAGUGUCGAUCUGAACGUAAGCGUAGUCUACUAGGAUUGACCGGGUGUACACAGCACUCGUUAUUAAAAUGAGAUGAACGAUUUGUUCAUCCGUAAGAUCAAGGAAACUUGAUGAACAAGGGUGGUACCGUGGAAAGAUAAAUCUUUUCGCCCCUUCA
rnacentral:ncRNA from 1 species